ACGGAAGGCAGCAGUGGGGAAUAUUGCACAAUGGGGGAAACCCUGAUGCAGCAACGCCGCGUGAGGGAAGACGGUUUUCGGAUUGUAAACCUCUGUUCUUAGUGACGAAGAAGUGACGGUAGCUAAGGAGCAAGCCACGGCUAACUACGUGCCAGCAGCCGCGGUAAUACGUAGGUGGCAAGCGUUAUCCGGAAUUACUGGGUGUAAAGGGAGCGCAGGCGGGAUAGCAAGUCAGCGGUGAAAUGUGUGGGCUUAACCCAUGAACUGCCGUUGAAACUGUUAUUCUUGAGUGGAGUAGAGGCAGGCGGAAUUCCGAGUGUAGCGGUGAAAUGCGUAGAUAUUCGGAGGAACACCAGUGGCGAAGGCGGCCUGCUGGGCUCCAACUGACGCUGAGGCUCGAAAGUGUGGGGAGCAAACAGGAUUAGAUACCCUGGUA
rnacentral:rRNA from 1 species